GAGUUUGAUCAUGGCUCAGAUUGAACGCUGGCGGCAGGCCUAACACAUGCAAGUCGAACGGUAACAGGAAGAAGCUUGCUUCUUUGCUGACGAGUGGCGGACGGGUGAGUAAUGUCUGGGAAACUGCCUGAUGGAGGGGGAUAACUACUGGAAACGGUAGCUAAUACCGCAUAACGUCGCAAGACCAAAGAGGGGGACCUUCGGGCCUCUUGCCAUCGGAUGUGCCCAGAUGGGAUUAGCUAGUAGGUGGGGUAACGGCUCACCUAGGCGACGAUCCCUAGCUGGUCUGAGAGGAUGACCAGCCACACUGGAACUGAGACACGGUCCAGACUCCUACGGGAGGCAGCAGUGGGGAAUAUUGCACAAUGGGCGCAAGCCUGAUGCAGCCAUGCCGCGUGUAUGAAGAAGGCCUUCGGGUUGUAAAGUACUUUCAGCGGGGAGGAAGGGAGUAAAGUUAAUACCUUUGCUCAUUGACGUUACCCGCAGAAGAAGCACCGGCUAACUCCGUGCCAGCAGCCGCGGUAAUACGGAGGGCGCAAGCGUUAAUCGGAAUUACUGGGCGUAAAGCGCACGCAGGCGGUUUGUUAAGUCAGAUGUGAAAUCCCCGGGCUCAACCUGGGAACUGCAUCUGAUACUGGCAAGCUUGAGUCUCGUAGAGGGGGGUAGAAUUCCAGGUGUAGCGGUGAAAUGCGUAGAGAUCUGGAGGAAUACCGGUGGCGAAGGCGGCCCCCUGGACGAAGACUGACGCUCAGGUGCGAAAGCGUGGGGAGCAAACAGGAUUAGAUACCCUGGUAGUCCACGCCGUAAACGAUGUCGACUUGGAGGUUGUGCCCUUGAGGCGUGGCUUCCGGAGCUAACGCGUUAAGUCGACCGCCUGGGGAGUACGGCCGCAAGGUUAAAACUCAAAUGAAUUGACGGGGGCCCGCACAAGCGGUGGAGCAUGUGGUUUACUUCGAUGCAACGCGAAGAACCUUACCUGGUCUUGACAUCCACGGAAGUUUUCAGAGAUGAGAAUGUGCCUUCGGGAACCGUGAGACAGGUGCUGCAUGGCUGUCGUCAGCUCGUGUUGUGAAAUGUUGGGUUAAGUCCCGCAACGAGCGCAACCCUUAUCCUUUGUUGCCAGCGGUCCGGCCGGGAACUCAAAGGAGACUGCCAGUGAUAAACUGGAGGAAGGUGGGGAUGACGUCAAGUCAUCAUGGCCCUUACGACCAGGGCUACACACGUGCUACAAUGGCGCAUACAAAGAGAAGCGACCUCGCGAGAGCAAGCGGACCUCAUAAAGUGCGUCGUAGUCCGGAUUGGAGUCUGCAACUCGACUCCAUGAAGUCGGAAUCGCUAGUAAUCGUGGAUCAGAAUGCCACGGUGAAUACGUUCCCGGGCCUUGUACACACCGCCCGUCACACCAUGGGAGUGGGUUGCAAAAGAAGUAGGUAGCUUAACCUUCGGGAGGGCGCUUACCACUUUGUGAUUCAUGACUGGGGUGAAGUCGUAACAAGGUA
rnacentral:rRNA from 1 species